rnacentral:rRNA from 1 species
AAAUUGAAGAGUUUGAUCAUGGCUCAGAUUGAACGCUGGCGGCAGGCCUAACACAUGCAAGUCGAACGGUAACAGGAAACAGCUUGCUGUUUCGCUGACGAGUGGCGGACGGGUGAGUAAUGUCUGGGAAACUGCCUGAUGGAGGGGGAUAACUACUGGAAACGGUAGCUAAUACCGCAUAACGUCGCAAGACCAAAGAGGGGGACCUUCGGGCCUCUUGCCAUCGGAUGUGCCCAGAUGGGAUUAGCUAGUUGGUGGGGUAACGGCUCACCAAGGCGACGAUCCCUAGCUGGUCUGAGAGGAUGACCAGCCACACUGGAACUGAGACACGGUCCAGACUCCUACGGGAG